CCCUUGGUGGUGUAGUUGGUUAUCGCGUUCGGCUGUAAUUGGUGUAUCUACCCUUCUGGGUGGUUGCUUGCUACCGAAAUGUCGCCGGUUCGAUUCCGGCCCGAGGGA